AACGAACGCUGGCGGCAUGCCUAACACAUGCAAGUCGAACGAAGCCUUCGGGCUUAGUGGCGCACGGGUGCGUAACGCGUGGGAAUCUGCCCCUUGCUUCGGAAUAACAGUUAGAAAUGACUGCUAAUACCGGAUGAAGUCUUCGGACCAAAGACUUAUCGGCAAGGGAUGAGCCCGCGUAGGAUUAGGUAGUUGGUGGGGUAAAGGCCUACCAAGCCGACGAUCCUUAGCUGGUCUGAGAGGAUGAUCAGCCACACUGGGACUGAGACACGGCCCAGACUCCUACGGGAGGCAGCAGUGGGGAAUAUUGGACAAUGGACGCAAGUCUGAUCCAGCAAUGCCGCGUGAGUGAUGAAGGCCUUAGGGUUGUAAAGCUCUUUUACCAGGGAUGAUAAUGACAGUACCUGGAGAAUAAGCUCCGGCUAACUCCGUG
rnacentral:rRNA from 1 species